rnacentral:lncRNA from 1 species
AUGGUGGAUGUUUCUGGCCAGACAUUACAGGCUGCCCCUCCUCGCCAUCGGGUGACUGCCGUCUCCCUGUGGAGAAAGUGCAGCUGGAAUGACGACAAGGGAUGGAUUUCUGCUGGGCCCAUCUGGGAACAACAGUGGGAUUUACUGCCCUGGCUGGCAGGGAACACACAGCACUGCCUGGCUGACCCAAAGAAUGAGCCUCAAGCCCCUGUGCUUUUGAAGAGGGAUGGAGGAAAAAAGAAAUGAUCAAAAUUCCUUUGUGGAGAGAAGAGGAACUCUUUUUUUUCACUGGCUUCUUUCCAUGUGUUACAUUCUAAUGGGAACUUAUCAUUUCUUUCUCACCACGAAAAUUUCAUUUAUCACUGAAACAACAGUGUAUAUAGCAAUCUGUAAGUAGCCAAAAAUGGUUAAUGAAGUCUAUGUUCAUUAUACAAGAUAUCUG